rnacentral:lncRNA from 1 species
GGAGGUAAAUAUAGCUAAGGUUAAUUUGGGUAGUUUACUUAAGAAAUCUUUCAAUAACUAUUCUACGAAGCUUCCUAGAAGUUGAAAAACAGCCUUACUUGACAAGCAAGUAAAUAAUCUAGGAUUUCUAAGCAAAAAAUGAAAAUUGGGAAGGAUUGAAGGGCAAAACUUAGCCUAUUUAUGCUGCCCUAAUAGCUUGCCUAUAAAGGCAUUACUAAGGAAAGCUAAUAUCAGAUUUUGGAGAUUGAGGACAAAAUUCAGAAAACCAAAAUGGCUAGAAAUUUCUAUGAAAAUUCACUGUUCCAUUGAUUUCUGGUUUCAUUCUUGAGGUUCUUCUUCUUCUGAAGUUAUCUCUAAUUCAUAUGAGGCUUAGAUUCUGCAUUUUUUAUUUAAAAUAGCCUGAUUUUGGUUUUGAAAAAUUCUGGUGUGAAGCUGUUCUAAUUUUUGAGGUUACUGUUACAUCACUGAGGGUUGAAUUGGUUUAGCUGUCGUUGGUUACUGCUUCCCCACUCCUUUUAGCUUUCCUUUAUUUCCCAGGUACAUUUUUCUUAAACUCUACCCAUCGUGAGGCCUAAUUGAAGAUGGAAAUGAAAAUAAAGUUGAAAGAAUGACAAUAGUUUAAUGUGUAGUAUUUUUACAAAAUGUUUGCCUUAGUUACCUGAUUCAUUGUGUAUGAUAGUUAGUCUCUAUUCUAAUAGUCGAGUUCUUUAAAUUGUAUUUGGUUUGGGACUGUGGAAUGCUAUGUAUAGGACUCAAUCAAGUUUAAUAUGUCUCAAAUGCAUUUUAGCCUUGGAUGAAGUCAGCAGGUGUGCUUGGUAGUAAUUUUGUGUUUGGGAUUGUGCUAACAAGGCUCAAAGGGAAAAAUGAGUAAUGUUUGAUAUGCUGAUAGGAAUUUCUAUGAGGUGUUGGGACAUUAUGGUUUCGUUUUGGAAAUGAAACUGAACAUAUCUGGUUGUCUCAAGAUUUUUGCGAUUUAAUCCUUUACGUUAUGUUGAUGUGAAGUUUAAUUAAGGUUCAAUUUCUAAUCAGUACUUCAAGUUAAUUGAGGGCUUCGAAAUUUGGAGUCAUAUGUUGUAUAGUUCCCCAAGGAUUAGACUUCUAAUUGUUUUCAAAUCAUGACAUUACUAAAGCUUCUUGUAAUUGUCUAUUGAAAGAUGAUUUAAAACUGUUACAUAUAUGUUAGUUCCACGAUUAAUUUUCUGCUGUGCCAAUCCCCGCUUGCACGCUGCAAGAGCUCGAUAUUGAGUCCAAUUUGUGGUUGCUCCAGGACUCCAAAAUUGGGUUAACCGUAAGCCCAGCAUUUCGCAUGUCAAGCCCACAACAAUGGGUAGCUGAACGUGAUUUUUAUCAACGGGUGAGCUUUUACUAGUUCUUUUUUUUUUUGUUAAACCAUUAGCAUAAGUUUGGUGCAAAUAAAUAGGAUCCCCUUACGUUCUUUAAGUAACUAGUCAUGUCCUUUAAAAGAAACUUGAGGCGUGCCGUGCCAAAUAAAUUCUUUAAUUGUAGGGCCCUCGUUUAGUCAAUAUUUAAAAUCCUUAGAGUUCGAGAUGUGUCAUUUAGUAAAUUGUUCAUGCCCUCGCAAAGUUAAAAACACGUAUUUGCUUUAGGCACGUCAUUUUAAUAAUUUACUUUCCUAAAUUCCGGUGCGCGUUUCAUGUGACCCAACUCCAAAUCUCACAACGUAAAUAAAAUGUCUCGGACUGUGGGCACAUUUCUUGUGGCGCGGUCCAAAGAUAUGUUUUAGAUGACGUUGAAAUCUUCUUAAAAAUAAUUAAAAGUGGUUAAUAAGUUUAAAAUGCAUCAUAGGCUAAAACAUGUAUUAAAAUUAUAUAAUAGGCCAAUUUUAAUGAUUUAUGCGACCGUGCUAAAACCACAGAAUCCGGGGGUGCCUAACACCUUCCCGCGAGUUAACAGAAUUCCUUAUUUAGAAUUUCUGGUUCGCAGACUUCAAAAGGAAAGUCAAUAUAUUCCUCGAUUUGGGAUUUAAAAUAAAUCGCUGACUUAGGACACCAGAAAACAAACCAUCUCAAGUGGCGACUUUGAAUAAAAUUGAAUAAAUAAUUCCAUUUUGAAUAAUGUCACUUAAAUUGGAAAAAAAAACUCCCUUAUAUACUAUCAUUCGGGGUGGUGUAGGAAAAAGGAGAUGUGACAGAUAUGUACAAACUCGUGAGAAUGUAAGGAUUUUAUUGGUAUGACUUCUAAUGGAUUUCGAGACGUGGGCUCGAGGGUCGGGUUUGGCCAAUUUUGGGAUUUUUUUAGUUAAUUUGGUUAUUUUCGCGUAGGCUUUUGAUCCUUUAGCAUAUUUUGAUGUUAUGAUUCUAAUUUUAAUAGAUUCGACGCGUGUUGAGGCCAAUUCAAGAGCCAAAGGCAUCGCGGGCUAGAGUUUGGACCGGAUUGAGGUAAGUAAUGAUUGUAAAUGUUGUCCUGAGGGUAUGAAACCCCAUAUUUCACAUCGUUGUGCUAUUUUGAGGUGACACACACGCUAUAUGAUGAGCGUGGGGUCAUGCACCAUUGGAGAUUUUGACUUGGUUCGUCCUGUACGAUUGUUAAGUCGCGUAUUUGAUUGAACACUAUUUAAUAUUAUUGUGUUUUGGAAAAUAUUAAUAUAUGUUUGGGGCUAAUUUCCGUGUUUGGACCUUGUGCCGAUUCUUUGGACCAUUAGGGGCUUUUUACAAUUAUUUUCUCGCUAUUUUGGUAAUAUUUACACUCAGUCAUGCUAUGCUUUCACUUAUUUCAUAACUCGAGUUUUAUUUACUCCUUCUGAUGUUAUAAAUGAUAUUUUGAGAUGAGUACCUGUUUUACUGUUUACCCGAGGGGCUUGAGUGAGUUCUGACUGAGUGCGGCUGAGGGCUUGUGCUGAGAGGAUGUUAGGGGAUUGGGCUGCAUGCCGCAACGUGUUACACUGCUGAGGGUCUGAUUUGUCAUGCCACGAGAUGGCUUGUGACAUCGCUUGGGCUAUAAGAGCCCCUCCGGAGUCUGUAUACCCCUAGUGAAUGUAGGUACCUAGUGUGUGUGAUGUGAUAUUGCCACAGGGACUGUUGUUCUUUCAUGUUGUUGCCUGAGGGACUGAUACGAGUGAUUGUGAGGUAGCUCGAGCGACCGGCUUUGUUGAUAUUAUGCCCGAGGGGCAGUUUAUGGUACUUGUUUUUUCUCAAGGUACUAUUUACGUUUCUAUCCUUUUACUCACUGCUUUCAUCACUCAUUUGUAAAUAUUGAAAAAUAUUUCAAAAGGUUUUACUGAACUGAGUUUUCUUUUACGAGUUUUAUUGUUUUACUGCAUUGUUCCGGACUCAUACUGUUUGUUGUAGCGUUAUGACGUGGUUUAUGUGUUUUCUUAUUGCUCAACUGCUUUUACUUUUAUUACUUAUUGGUGUACUCAUAUUACUCCGUACACCUUGUGUGUAGAUCCAGGAGCCUCGGGUCACGAUAGUGAGUACUGAUUUGCUUUCCAGCGGAUCCUCGAAGUUGACUAGCUAGCUAUUUGGCGUUCGCAGCCUAGUGCUUCUCCUUCCUAUCUUAUUUAGCCUUGUAUUAGCAUUGCUUCCAUACUAUGUUGACCUUUCUUACUCCUAGACGAGAUGUAGUUGCUCAUAACUAGUGACACCCCGGUGUCGGGUUGUGUUAUGUUUUCGCAUUGUCUAAUUUGACUUAUAUUAUGGAAUUUGAGCUAAUUAAUGGCUUUAAAUGACUUGUUAUGAAUUGGUUUGGGGUUUGUGUAGGCUGGCCUAGAUUUACGAUAGGCACCAUCACGACGGGAUCCGUUUUAGGAUUGUGACAAGGUCGAUACACCGUAGGUUACAUAGGUCUCAUUAGUCAUGAGCAUGUUUUGUAGAGUCUCGCGAACCGGUACGAAGUGUAUUUAUCCUCGGGAGGCUACAAAACAUUUAGGAAAACUUUAUAUUCUUGAAUUGAUGUUGUGCGAAUCUGUUGAUUCUAGUACUAAACUUCUGUUAUCCUAUUCUCUAACAGAUGAUGAUGACAUGCACUACCGGUCAGGAUGGACGACUAGCAGUGCCACCAGCUGGGGCCACUAACGGCCAAGGACGCGGUCGAGGCCGUGGUAGGGGCAGGGGUAUAGCCCGCAUAGUAGCUAGGGCACUACCGACAGAUCUACCAGCAGCCUAGUUCAGGAUCAGGUCUCAGUCGUGGACGGUCAACCGGCACUAGCUCUGGCAUCGGCUGUGCCUAUUGUCAUUUUAGGUCUACAGGAGACCUUGGCUCAGAUCUUGACCGUGUGCACUAGUCUGGGUCAGGUGGUCACAACUUCUACUACCAUAACCACUUCUCAGGUAAGGGGAGGCAUUCAGAUUUCUAUCGCCCGCAGACCCGAGCAGGUUGUUCAGGGAUUGCAAACACCAGAGGCCACUAGCCCAACCAGUUGCAGCUGCUCAAGAUUAUGUAGCUCCAGUUAUGCCAAAGGAUGAGCAGCGUAGAUUGGAGAGGUUUGGGAGAAUUAAGGCUUCGAUUUUCAGUGGUGCAGAGGGAGAGAACGCCCGGGGUUUCUUGCGAAAGUGUUAGAGGAUGCUUCGGAUUGCUGGUAUUUUGGAGACUAGUAGGGUGUCGUUCACUACUUUCCAAUUUUCAGGGGCUGCACAUAGAUGGUGGGAGGCUUACGAGAGGCGUAGGCUGGCUGACGUAGUGCCCCUUUCUUGGCAGCAGUUCUCCAUUCUCUUCCUGGAGAUCCAUUUGAGAUUCUCGAUCCUGUGGGGGAGGUGGCUUAUAGACUUUCCUUGCCACCUAGCUUGUCAUCCGUGCAUCCGGUGUUUCACGUAUCCAUGCUUCGAUGGUAUCACGGCGAUCCAUCCAGUGUUAGAUUUCAGCUCUGUCCAGUUGGACAAAGACCUGUUUCAUAAGGAGGAGCCAGUAGUUAUUUUAGAUCGGCAGGUUCGACAGUUGAGGUCGAAAAGUUUUCCUUCGGUGCGUGUUUAGUGGAGAGGUCAGCCUCCUGAGGUAUCGACAUGGGAUUCCGAGUCUUAUAUGUGGAGGCGAUAUCCUCAUCUAUUUCCUGCCUGAGGUACUUCUUUAUUUUGUUCGUUCGAGGACGAACAGUUGUUUUAGAGUUGGAGAAUGUGACGACCUAAAGGUUCAUUACCGUGUUUUUACUCAUUCUGUGUCUUCGAGGCCUUGAAAACCUCAUUUAGGGUUGUCUCGAUCUGCGUGUGAAGUUAGGGCGCGUAACCGAAAAGUUAAAUAUGAAUUCUGUGUGAAAAAUGAUGAAUUUUAAUAUUAAUAUGAUUAAAGUUUACUCUGGUCAACAUUUUGGGUGAACGGACCCGGAUGUUACAUUCCAUGUUUUCGUAUGUGAAAGUACGUCGUAAACUAAUUAAUGUAAGCUCAGAAAUGAGAUCAUUUUGAAAGUACAUAAUGUAAGUUUCAUCUUGUUAUCUUGGAGNNNNNNNNNNNNNNNNNNNNNNNNNNNNNNNNNNNNNNNNNNNNNNNNNNNNNNNNNNNNNNNNNNNNNNNNNNNNNNNNNNNNNNNNNNNNNNNNNNNNNNNNNNNNNNNNNNNNNNNNNNNNNNNNNNNNNNNNNNNNAGAAGAAAAUAAGUUUCAUUGAAAGUCGACAAAUUUGGAAUGUUAUAACAUGUACUUUGGGGUGAGACUAGGGUUCUUAACAUGAUAAGGAUGUUAUUGUAUGAUUUUUUUAGUUGUAUGAUAUUCAUUUUCUACAUUAUGAAGGCAAGCAAGUUGUGGAACAAGAGUUGGCAAAGGUCAUCACAAGUUACAUUCAUAAAUUUGCUGAAAUUAAAGUCAAAUGUAGAUGCACUUUUCUCCCAAUAUACUUAGAAUAAAGGAAUGAUAUAUAUA